CAAAUGAAGGAGCACUCUGACGCAGCCAUGCCGCGUGCAGGAGAGGCGCUACGCGUUGUAAACUGCUUUUAUCCGGGAAAAAACCCCAGGACGUGUCCUGGGUUGACGGUACCGGAGGAAUAAGCACCGGCCAACUUCAUGCCAGCAGCCGCGGUAAAAGCCUA
rnacentral:rRNA from 1 species